rnacentral:rRNA from 1 species
CCUACGGGGGGCAGCAGUGAGGAAUAUUGGUCAAUGGCCGGAAGGCUGAACCAGCCAUGCCGCGUGAAGGUCAGUGCCCUAUGGGCGUUAAACUUCUUUUGUGCGGGAGCAAUAAUGGUCACGUGUGGCCAGACGAGAGUACCGUACGAAUAAGCAUCGGCUAACUCCGUGCCAGCAGCCGCGGUAAUACGGGGGAUGCAAGCGUUAUCCGGAUUUAUUGGGUUUAAAGGGUGCGUAGGCUGGGCGGUAAGUCAGCGGUGAAAUGCCCCCGCGCAAGGGGGUGAAGUGCCAUUGAUACUGGCUGGCUGGAAUGCGGAUGCCGUGGGAGGAAUGGGUGGUGUAGCGGUGAAAUGCAUAGAUAUCACACAGAACACCGAUUGCGAAGGCAUCUCACGAAUCCGCGAUUGACGCUGAGGCACGAAAGCGUGGGUAUCAAACAGGAUUAGAUACCCGAGUAGUC